GGAGAGGUGGCCGAGUGGUCGAAGGCGCACGCCUGGAAAGUGUGUAGGCGGGGAACCGUCUCGAGGGUUCGAAUCCCUUCCUCUCCGCCA
rnacentral:tRNA from 47 species